rnacentral:pre_miRNA from 1 species
UUAACUCAAUUUUGUAUGGAGUUGGAACAUUUGCCAACGUUUGCCGCUAGGGACGCUGUUCCAUCUGCAUACUAUUAACUUU